UCAGAGGGGUGAUACAGCAGUGUAUUCUGAAUCAAUGCUAAAAUGUAUAUGUUACUAAGUAGGAGUCAUUCUGAUCCUGAUUUUUCUGGAAGUGUGAACAGAGCUCUGAUUCCAGUAGAGACCUGGAGAUCAAACCUAGGAGAAAAAGGCAAAUGAAAUGUUUGACCUGGAAUAUAAGGUGACUUUUCACAUCUGUAGCUACAGUACAAUAAGCUAAACAACUUUUUAUCAGAAAUACAGAAAGACAACAUAUGUGAACACUGACAUGAAGGGUUUUUAUAACUGUCUCAGAAUGAAAAUCUCCAGUUUAAUUCCAGAUACCUGUAAGAUCAAUAUGUCCAGCAGGGAAAACAUAUUACAAUGAAACUUCAAAUGGAAAGCGACCACCUGAAAAUUACAGCUUGGACGCCAAGUAGAAGAGAAGAAAAUCAAAAGAGGAUCCCUGACCUUUGCUCACUCAGCUCUAAAUGUAUGGCAUAAUUAAUCGCCAGGCUGAUUAUUUAAAUUUUUCAUACAAACGCAAUAGUUUUUAAUAAAAUGAAAUUUUCUUAUCUCAGAGCUUUUGUGGUGUGGUUGCUGCUGCUGUUUUAGGAUCUGAAUGAUCUUAAGCUGUUACUAAUUAUUCUUUUCUUUUGUUGGUUCUCCAUUUCUGUUGGGGGGGAAGAGAUCAUUGCCCCCUCGUUAGCUGAAUUUGAACUGAUUGGCCGGUACCCAUCCUGUUGUUGUAUUUGUGUUUUGAACAAUAUGUUUUUCUAGACAGGGACUCACUUUUGUACUGUACUUAUAUACCAACUUGUCUGUGCAGUGCCAUCCACUUGAAAUAGUCCAGAAAAAAUGAACCGGAUUUCAUGAGGCUUCGGGGCAAUCCCAAGUUUAUGCAAGAACUGAGGCUGAAUGUGGUACCCCUGUGGAAACAAUUACAUAGCCAUACCAAAAAGAUAUGGCAGGUAAUAUUCAAAAUGCUCCUGUACCAAAAGAGAUGCUGAGGUGCAGUGAAUGCAACCUGCCUGCAGUUUGGAUUACCUACUUCCCAGAAGUCCCUUCCCUACUCUUGCCUGUGAUGGGAAUGUAUAUCUCUUUGUGUCUCCCCUCCCCUGGGCCUCUAGGAAGGGACUCAAGAUUCUCUUGGCACCAGUGGCAACUGGUGCUUCUUUUUCCUCAAAGUUUUGGGGAGUUGGACUGUCUUCUUCCUCAUUUCAUUGAGUAGUGGAGGCACAGGAGUGAAAGCACAUGUGUAUAAGGAGGUGAGAGAAUGGUAGGUAGAGCAGGAGUGGGUGAUGAGUGGAUAACAAGUUCAGAAAGGCUGAUGUAGAGAACAGACAGGUUGAUUGGCUCAGAGAUUAUGUAUGCAGGGCACCUAAUGCCCUUCCUGGCAAUUCUUGCAUAUCCUACAAGCAUUUAUAGGACAUUUUUGGGUAGGCUAUUCUAGUAAAUGAAAAACUGAGAAUGAAGCCAAGUCAAGGUCAGUCUCUCAAUGGUUCUGUCAGAGAGAAAGAUUAAGAGAAGGGGGGACAGAGAAAAUUGCCAUAGGUAUUAAAAUUACAUCCUGGAGAUUUUAAACACCACACUAUGUGAGUGACUGAAUGCUGUAUGCCCAGCUUGAAAGGAAAGCAGUGAGGGAUUGGAUACUGGGUAGUGCAAUGCGCUGUGGUUGUGAGAUCUUUUCAUUUCACAAUGGGAAAGUAUAUGAUAACAAUGUCCCCUUUCUUUCAUCAGAAAAUUAGAUAUCAAAAAUAUUCCCUUCAGUACCUGUGACCCCUUGAGGGGCUCAUGGUAUUUGCCAUUGCACUUCACAUUGCAGUGCAUCCCACUUCCUCAUCUCCAAAACACAGACAAGCUGUUUAUUUUAAACUGUGACAAGUGUCAUUGAAACAGAAGUGCCAAAAUAGAUACAUGAGCCUUUUCCACCUUGGAAAGUUGACGGACCGCUACUUAAAAUAGGUUCAAUUUAUCUGUCAGAACAUGAUAUAUAUUUGUAACAUUAUUUCUGAAAUUGUAACUUGAUAUUUUAUCACCUCUACCAGCCAGAUGACUCAGUCACAAAUUCAGCCUAUAUACAGGAAUGAUAGAAAAGUGCUCAGAUUUUUUAAAAAAUUAACUGACCUGAAUAUUGCCAUUUUUACUCUUGGAUUUUAAAGGGGAAAUAAGAAAAGUGGUAAACAUACAUACAGUAAAUUCCAAAAAAAAAUAGUAGAUACUAAUGAAAGAUUUGACUGAACACUGUCUGUAAAAAUUGCUAUUAAAAUCUCAAUAAAGAAUGAUGCUGUUGAUUGAC